AUCUCCUCCACCCCACAAAUCUUCUCUAUAAAUACCCCUAAACCCUAAUUCACUUUCUCUCGCAUCAAUCCCUCUCUCUGAUUUCCCACCACACAAUCCAAAAUAUUCUGCAACCUUUUUCCCGAUAUUGUAAACCCCACCAAAAAAAUAUUUCCCCAUCACACUUUUUGCUCCUCCAUAUCUCUUCGAAGAAUCGUUGCAACCAUCCAAUUUCUUAUCCUUUACCAAUUCUGCAAAAGAAUUUUGACAUUAUUCGUUACCUCAAUUUUCUUUUUCGGCUGAAUGGUCGGUCUACAAUAAAUACGAGCAGCCAUGGCAGCAGCCUAUCCACAUUUCCUAGUAUCCGAAACCCUAACCGCGGCCACGCCGCCGCCGAUAAUGGCGACCCCCGCCGCCUCGCCCCUCACGCAGGACGAAUUGAAGAAGAUCGCCGCCUACAAAGCCGUCGAGCACGUGCGUUCCGGCAUGGUCGUCGGCCUCGGCACCGGCUCCACCGCGAAGCACGCCGUCGACCGCAUCGCCGAGCUCCUGAAGCAGGGGAAGCUAAGCGACGUCGUCGGGAUCGCCACCUCCACCAAAACCUACGAGCAGGCGGCGUCGCUCGGCAUCCCGCUCUCGGAUCUCGACGCGCACCCGAUCGUCGAUCUGUCAAUCGACGGCGCCGACGAGGUCGAUCCGGAUUUGAACCUCGUCAAAGGCAGGGGCGGAUCGCUGCUGAGAGAGAAGAUGGUGGAAUCCGCGAGUAGGAAAUUCAUCGUGAUCGUUGACGAGUCGAAAUUGGUGAGCCACAUCGGCGGCAGCGGGCUGGCAAUGCCGGUGGAGGUGAUUCCGUUCUGCUGGAGCCACUCGCUGAGCAGGCUCAAGGCGCUGUUCGCCGACGCCGGCU
rnacentral:lncRNA from 1 species